rnacentral:lncRNA from 1 species
GGGCUCAGGAGGGUUUCUGGAUGCCAACGAGACCCCAGCCACAGCCGGUCCCCAGAUUCUUGACAUCAUCACAAGAAAGAAUUCACAGAUCGCUUAGCUCCAUCCAACAUGGAAAGGGAUCAGACACGGGCAUCAUUGCCAGAUGAUAAUCCCUGAUGGUCAUCUUGGAUGCUGGCCACCACAGUUACAUUUGAGAUGGUGCACAAGAAGGCUCUCGCCAGAUGCUGGUCUUGUGAUCUUGGACUUCCCAGCCUCCAGAACUGUUCUACUUGAAUCAUAGUUUCUUUGCUCCUGGGAGACCCCUGCUAUUCCCAGUGAUGCUGCGAACUGGGGUUCAAAGUGGGGUGGCCUGGUGAGGCCUAAAAUCCAUGUCCCGUGGAGAACUGCCUGCAUCCCUUACAGAACCUGCCACAUAUUUCUGCAGCUUCCAAGAGGAAGGCUGGAAUUUACUGAGCUUACUGAAGCCAAUUAUCCCAAGAGUAUGUGAUCCAGAAGCAAGAUAAAGAUCAAAAGGACUCAGCUGGGAUUUGGCCUUCUCCAAGUGGAAGGAAUAAAAUCUGCAAUUGGCUCUGAAAAUAAAAACCAAACAAAAUCUCAGGCAAUCAUAGACAUGGCUCUUUGCUAUUUAUGAGCUUUUCUUUCUUUCUUUUUUUUUUUAAUUUAAACAAAUGUUAAAAGAUUUUUGUGUGGACCUCAGAUUCCAGCUUUACACUGAAACUCAACAUUAGUGUCGAAGCACUUGCAGGCCAUAUGUGCUCCAGCGAGGGUUUGGGAAUGUUGGGUGGUGUUGGUGGGCACCCAUAAUUGCCACUUGCUAUCACGUGAAUGCCUUAGGCAUGACGGAUUGCCAGUGCCCCUCUGAGCAGUCACUUGGAAGCUUUGCCAAAAUAUAAAUAUGUAACAUGAACAGAGGGUGCGUGACUUUUUAACUGCAGUAGCCACCUUUCAGACACCUGAGGCUUUGGUGUCCUCAGUUCCAAAAGCCACACAGCAGCUCUUAACCUGGAGAGAGGAAGGCACCUGGGGAAAAGUCACGUUCUUCCAAAGCCUUCACAUCAAUCUUUCAUGGAUAUUGAGUUUUUAAAUGUUGGUGAUUGUCGUGUCUUUUGCAGCCUGACAUUUGGGAGGAAGG